UUGACCCACCUCCAGGUUUAGGUUCGAUGAACGUUCGUUCGCCACUGACCGCCGGAAUCACCACUCUAGAUCCGUUAUCAGCCACUGAAAGCGCGGUUCCUCGGGGCUUUUGACAGGAUCCCUUUUGCCUUUGCUGCCGUUUACCGCGUGUGGGAACCCUUCGUCGUCGGGAUUGGAGAAUCGUGAAUCGGGAUACACUGGACGCGAGGCUUUUUUUUCCUUUUUCUAUGUUUUUUGGCCUCCAAGUUUACUUAAUUUUGUUUUUUUUCCUCGUCUCGCAACUAGUAGCUUCGGGAUUUAACGGGAAGUGUGCUUUAUCGUGUCAAGGAAGUAGAUGAGGUGAAGUUAGAAACUGAGGAUUCACGUUAGCAUUGUAGCUGUCCGGGAAGUGCCGAUCGGUAGUGCCCACUCAUCGUCCUUUGCUGGAUUUAGUGAGUACGGUAAGAGUGGAUGUUGUCAGCAGGGAGCAACGUUCUUGUGCCAGAGAGCCCAUGAGUUAUUUAAUUAUUUAAUUAUUAAUAUUUU
rnacentral:lncRNA from 1 species